GAUUGCUUUCAGGAAAAUGCCACCUCGUUAAUGGAGAAACCCUAAUUAAAAUUAAAAUGGUUCACAUCUAUUUCCAACGCUGUUCCGACCCAACCUGCUGCAAAUACCCAAAGGCCUCCGAUAACCAGUCCUGUUUUUGCAGAACUGGAGCCUUGCCGCGAGCAAAAACUGCUCAGAGGACUGGAGCUAAAGAGAGAGAGAGAGAAUGCAAGCAGAGGAGAGGGCAGAAGGAGAAAGAGAGAGGAUCCCGAGAAGCCUCCACACUGAGGGAUCCCACGAUCCUGGGAUCAUGACCUGAACCAUAAUCAAGAGUCGGACGCUUAACCAACUGAACCACCCAGGCACCUGCACCAAUAAUUUAAUUCAUACCUUUAUUCUUUAUUAUCCUAAAGAAAGAACCUCUAUUCAUGUUAAAUUUGCAUGGAUUUUUUUGUAAU